UGAGGAAUAUUGGUCAAUGGGCGGGAGCCUGAACCAGCCAAGCCGCGUGAGGGAAGAAGGCCCUAUGGGUCGUAAACCUCUUUUGUCAGGGAACAAAAGCGAGUAUGUAUACUAGUCUGAGUGUACCUGAAGAAAAAGCAUCGGCUAACUCCGUGCCAGCAGCCGCGGUAAUACGGAGGAUGCGAGCGUUAUCCGGAUUUAUUGGGUUUAAAGGGUGCGUAGGCGGCGAUGCAAGUCAGCGGUAAAAGCCCGGGGCUCAACCCCGGGCGAGCCGUUGAAACUGCAGUGCUAGAGAAGGCGAGAGGUACGCGGAAUGCGCAGUGUAGCGGUGAAAUGCUUAGAUAUUGCGCAGAACUCCGAUUGCGAGGCAGCGUACUGGCGCCUGACUGACGCUGAGGCACGAAAGCGUGGGGAUCGAACAGGAUUAGAUACC
rnacentral:rRNA from 1 species